UACGAAGGAUCCAAGCGUUAUCCGGAUUUAUUGGGUUUAAAGGGUGCGUAGGUGGCUUUUUAAGUCAGGGGUGAAAGACGGUAGCUUAACUAUCGCAGUGCCCUUGAUACUGAAGAGCUUGAAUGAACUAGAGGUAGGCGGAAUGUGACAAGUAGCGGUGAAAUGCAUAGAUAUGUCACAGAACACCAAUUGCGAAGGCAGCUUACUAUGGUUUUAUUGACACUGAGGCACGAAAGCGUGGGGAUCAAACAGG
rnacentral:rRNA from 1 species